rnacentral:rRNA from 1 species
CCUUGUUGCCAGCGGUCCGGCCGGGAACUCAAAGGAGACUGCCAGUGAUAAACUGGAGGAAGUGGGGAUGACGUCAAGUCAUCAUGGCCCUUACGACCAGGGCUACACACGUGCUACAAUGGCGCAUACAAAGAGAAGCGACCUCGCGAGAGCAAGCGGACCUCAUAAAGUGCGUCGUAGUCCGGAUUGGAGUCUGCAACUCGACUCCAUGAAGUCGGAAUCGCUAGUAAUCGUGGAUCAGAAUGCCACGGUGAAUACGUUCCCGGGCCUU